AGUCGCGCGCGGGCCGUCGGCGAGGAAGGUUGUGUCGCGUCGACGGGCGGAGCGUAGAGAUUCUGGCGGAGAAGGGAUAGGGACUUUUUAGUGACCGUCGACUGGGCGUUGUGGUUUCACGGAGGGCACUGAAGGCAGGCGUGGGAGGAAGACAAAGUGAAGAACUCGUAGCAGAAAGACGAGUGAACGGGUUACAAUGAGCUGGCUGCUGACUGUCUGCUUGUCUGCCUCACUCUUCAUGGCCGGUGACAGUGAACUCGGUCAUUCUCACGGGUACGGGGUGUACCACCACCACGCGCACUACUCGUACGAGCCGAUACCGGGCGGCAACAACUACAACACCACCGUGCUGGAGGGCGACGAGGCGGUGCUCAGGUGUCGGCUGAAGGAGCCCGCCGGCAGG